rnacentral:tRNA from 1 species
GCGCCGGUGGUGCAACCGCAAGCACACCCGUCUUCCGGGCGGGAGGUCCUGGUUCAAGUCCAGGCUGGCGCUCCA